ensembl:lncRNA
CCAUUUCCUUAAACAGGAAAUCAAAAGAUACAGCGAACAACAACUCGUCGGAUAAUGAUCAGUCUUAUUUAAUGUGUGGUAUCCACAAAAUACACAGACCAACAUCACUAUUUCUCUAUUGUCAAUGAUAGGGCCUCCCUAACCUCAUGCGCUGGCAUCUGUGGCGCCUCUGCAGAAAAGCUGGCUGACAUAUCCCGCAUGGAACAAGAUCAUCCACGAGGAAGCCCUCAUCCACCAUAAAGGCCAUGAUCAGGGAUAAGUAAGGAAAGAAUUCCUGGCUGCCUAACAAUCUCCUUGUCACUCACAGAACCAGCAUACAAAGAGGACACAAAAGUGACAACUCCGUGUGGUGACGUUCCCAACAUGCCCUUGAAGGGUGUGUAGCCUGGUUCUGGUUCAUAGCAUGGAGGUUCAGAAACCAACUAACUCAUGUGCUGAUGGAAUAAGGUAAGGUUAGAGGCACCUCAAAUUAAUGUUUUAGAAAUGUGCUAUUUUUUGUAAAUCUGUUAUAAUCCAUGUUAUUGUCAUCAAUUAUGCCCCCAAAAAUGCUUGAAAUAUUUGGCAGGAGUUCCCUCUACAAAGCUCUCCCUGGACAAAUGCCUGACAUGGACCUUCUCCACGUCUCAGAAACAUAUGCUAACUUUACUCCACUAACUGCCCCUCAUGUGACAACUGUGGACAUGCCAGCCAACAUUCCCCUGAUUAGGUCUGCCUUUGGACCAAUGCAAGCUGGCAGUGUCUUAACAACCUCAAAAACACAUUAAAUUGUGAAGAUACCUGAUGCCCCUUCUACUUCAACACUUCCAUUAGAUGGCAUGCUAGCUUCCAUCUUCUCGGUGUGUGUACAUCUUUAUUCAUCAAGAGCAGCUCCAUGACUAAGCAUUAGAGACAACCUACAAGAUGUCACAUAAAAUCGAGGAUGGUACAAGGGAGCAGAGCAGCAUCACAGAAUGGCAUCAGCUCAUGUUUUCCAGAGGUUUGCCAUGUACCAGGGGAGACAUCCACUGACCACCUAGUGGAACAGAUGUCCAAGGGUUCUAGUAUGCAGACCAUGGAGAUGAAAAGGUGGCUGCACAUUGAACAUUUUUUACUUCUUCCAAUGUGGCUUUGUAGUCCACCAAGAUGACCCAUGGUUAGGAUCGCCUCCAGGUGGCAUCCUAUUUGUAAGUUCCCACUUUGGUGUCUUGGAGGCUAAGUGGGCAAGUGUACAAAGUUAUGUGCCUUACCUGAAAAUACAGAAUGGAGAGCUUAAGUUGAAGAGACCACAUGUGCAAGGUGCAAGGUCAAAUCUUUCUAACAGGUUGUAGCUGAUGUGACUUUGUCAUCUGUGCUCAGGAG